UGCAUGAACUCAGAGUGGCGCCUGUGCGA
rnacentral:piRNA from 1 species